rnacentral:rRNA from 1 species
UACGUAGGGGGCAAGCGUUGUCCGGAUUUAUUGGGCGUAAAGAGCGUGUAGGCGGUUUGGUAGGUCCGCUGUGAAAACUCGAGGCUCAACCUCGAGACGCCGGUGGAAACCAUCAGGCUAGAGGCCGGAAGAGGAGAGUGGAAUUCCUGGUGUAGCGGUGAAAUGCGCAGAUAUCAGGAAGAACACCCGUGGCUAAGGCGGCUCUCUAGUACGGUACUGACGCUGAGACGCGAAAGCGUGGGGAGCGAACAGG